GAGCUGGGCAGCCUCUAGACGUGGCCUGGCAGACACUUUCACCUGGGAAUGCCUCAGCUGCUGCCCUGGAGGAGCAUGGCAGGCUGCAGCCAGAACCACUGCGCUCAUCCAGGCAGCAACAAACCCCUGGGAAGGAUUUGAAGGCAUUCAUCUGGCAGGUUUGGAAAGGUGCUCCAGUGCUGGUUCCUUUUGACACGACCCAGCUGGUGUGGGAUACAGCAGUUUCAGAUAAAGAAUGGCUCAUUCUCGUUCAGCACGGGACUUUGUUGCACUUUCAGAUCUGCAUCCAAACCUUGCUCGUCCUGUAAGUCUCACAGC
rnacentral:lncRNA from 1 species